GACGAACGCUGGCGGCGUGCUUAACACAUGCAAGUCGAACGGAAAGGCCCUGCUUUGGUGGGGUGCGCGAGUGGCGACCGGGUGAGUAACACGUGAGUACCCUGCCCUUGACUUUGGGAUAACCUCAGGAAACUGGGGCUAAUACCGGAUAGGAGCUCCUGCUGUUAGGUGGGGGUUGGAAAGUUUCGGCGGUUGGGGAUGGACUGGCGGCUCAUCAGCUUGUUGGUGGGGUAGUGUAUUACCAAGGCUUUGACGGGUAGCCGGCCUGAGAGGGUAACCGGAUCAGUUGGAACGGGGAUGCGACACAGACUCAUACGCGACGCAAGGGAGCGGAGGGGUGCACAAUGGGAGGAGGCAUGGUGCAACGACGCCGCGCGCGGGGUGUCAGCCUUCGGGUUGUAAAGCGAUUUCCUUUGUGACGAGGCGUGAGUGACGGUACUGGGUAAAGAAGCACCGGCUAACUACGUG
rnacentral:rRNA from 1 species